AGAUUUUGCGGAAAACAGGAAUUUAAAAUCAUACUUUCGUAAAAUGGCAACGCAUGUGGCAUAGGUAUAACUGCCACAGGCAGCUGAGGGUCGGUGGGUGGCUCGAACAAAAUUGACACCCAGGGUGAAUCACAGAUCUGUGGCCGUAACUGAAGUAGGCUAUGGUUUAUUCAGAUUUUGGAUGUGUUUUAAUUGAGUGGUAGAAAAAUUGGUUUCUUGUACAUCUUCGAUAUUCACGCUGCCAUUUCAAACUUUUUCAAGGAACCUACGAGGCCAUGAUGAGACGGUGUACGAUGUGCUGUCGUUGACAAGCAGAGAGAUUUCCAUCCUCAAAAAAAUAGAGAAACACCAGCAUUCAGUUGUUAGACAUUUGACGACAUCCGUGAUAGAUCACGAGCAACCGUUGUUCCCCCGUUUGAGCACGCGGAUUAGGAUCUCACCUUGACCUGGAAAAUGCACAUCACCUGGAUUCCAGCUGAGCCCAGAACGCUUCAAGUUCCCGUUGAUGCGCCAUCUCACCCACGAAAACACGAUGGAAGUCCCGUUUUUUUACUCGUCUUAACACACUCGACACGAUAAAAAGAAACGAUUAUGUCUUUUAGUUU